CAAACUAAAACGUGCAAUAAUAUAGAUCUACUGCAUAGAGAAUUUCAUAAGGAUUCCAAAAAGUCCGCGUUUGCUAUUUUACGACUUUUCUACGAAUUUCUAUGCAUUUCUAAAGUUCAUCCAUAAAAUAUGCAAAAACAAAAGAAAAGAAAAACAGAUCUUGCACCCAGAACCCUAGCUUUUCCAAGAAUCACGGCAC
rnacentral:lncRNA from 1 species